GAUGAACGCUGGCGGCGUGCCUAAUACAUGCAAGUCGAGCGAACAGACGAGGAGCUUGCUCCUCUGACGUUAGCGGCGGACGGGUGAGUAACACGUGGAUAACCUACCUAUAAGACUGGGAUAACUUCGGGAAACCGGAGCUAAUACCGGAUAAUAUAUUGAACCGCAUGGUUCAAUAGUGAAAGACGGUUUUGCUGUCACUUAUAGAUGGAUCCGCGCCGCAUUAGCUAGUUGGUAAGGUAACGGCUUACCAAGGCAACGAUGCGUAGCCGACCUGAGAGGGUGAUCGGCCACACUGGAACUGAGACACGGUCCAGACUCCUACGGGAGGCAGCAGUAGGGAAGCUUCCGCAAAGGGCGAAAGCCUGACGGAGCAACGCCGCGUGAGUGAUGAAGGUCUUCGGAUCGUAAAACUCUGUUAUUAGGGAAGAACAAAUGUGUAAGUAACUAUGCACGUCUUGACGGUACCUAAUCAGAAAGCCACGGCUAACUACGUG
rnacentral:rRNA from 1 species